CUGGAUUAUUAUGUGUUUCGUGCCUCGAUUUUCGUCUUGUUUUCACUUUCGGUUUCUCGUCUCGGAUUUGUUCGCCUCGUUCUUUGAUGUCCCGGUUUUGAUCUCACGCUUCCUCUUAUGGUUUUCAGCUUCUCGUCUACGUUUUCGGACUUGUUAUAUACAAGAAACAGUAUUGAACGAUUCUCAGCAUUGAGUCUUCAAGUCUCGAGUCCUUAGGUGCGUUCGAGCUCAUGCUGCGCUGUGCAGACCGAUCGGCGAGAUUAGCCGGAAGCAGUCGGGGAGGAGCUGAAAACGGAGCCGUCAAGUCGGACACGUUGGGAAUCUCGUUGCUUCUUUAAACAUGGCAGAUCACAUGGCGUUUGCCUACUUUAUUGCAGAUGAACUGGAAGCUAUAGAAAUACCUUUUUUGUUGGAAGAAAUGCAGCAGAAUGAACAACGACGCUCCUCCACAACAGUUCCCAAACUGGUCAACAUCUUUUUCUCAAAAGAUCAUCUGCGCCUCUCUUUUAGUUGACGCCAUCUCUCCAGGUCCGGCCUUACAAGAGACUCAAGCACAGCUGUUCUUCGUUCUGCAUGCGCUUCAUAUGCCUCAAAAAAUUGUGAGGGUUGAGGAUCUCUGCCUCCUGGACAUGCUUGUCCUGGCAGAGGUCCCCGGCUGCUCGUCUACAGAAGCACCUGCUGCCUGAGCUUGAAGAAGAGAGAUUGAUGGAGGCCUGUUUUGAGAAGGUGGAUCUUCCACACCUAGAGGAGUAAAGCAGAUAGUUCCAGGUGGUGCAGUUCCUAUCCCAGAGGACCCAAAUAGCUCAUCCAUUUGCUGCAGAAAAAGCACAAUGUGAUACGAAAGUGACUUUGUAAUAAGAUGCAAAAUUAUCUUAUACAGUGCAGUCUUAGACUUACUGUGUAGUACUCCCAGGUUUGCUUUCCCUCCCCAGUUGCAUGGCGGCGGUCCUUAACUCUUUUGUAAGUAGUUAACAUGUUGGUUAACUUUUUUCUAAUUUUUUCACUUGACAAGGUGUAUCCUUUUUGUGAAAAAGUAGUUUGUAGCUUUUUAUAAAAAGCAGUUUUGUUGCGGAAGUAGAGUUGCUGAUAAGUUUUUGUAAGGUGCAAAAGUAGCAACGUCAUUUUGUGUGUGAUUUCUGAAAAAAAGUUUUUUACCACUGCAAACACAUGCAUCUUUUUUCCAGUCUUAGGUGCCAUACCUUGUGAUUCAGGGCGGUCUAUCUGGACGGAGGAUGGGUUCCUGGCUCCUGAAGGGUUACCACCCACUACAUCGGUUUUUAGGGUGGUAGUCGGUAGGUCCUGGCUAAUGGGUGUCUGGUGCACAGGGCACUGGCUGGUUGGUGGUUUUACAAAACUGAGAUUUAGGGGUACAGGUGACUCAGUGGAGGUAGAGGGACAUAGAAAAGGAGGUUGGGGAAACACUGCAGCACAAGCUAGAUCGCUGAUACUGUAGGAGCUGUUUAGAGAGAAAGCUGAAAAUUUAGUUAUCACUUAUGUGUCCAGUAUGUGUUUGUUCAUCACAAGUGUUUACCUUGUUUUGUGUCAACGGCUGUAACUUUUGCCAUGACAUCAGAGAGGAACAUCUGGGGAAAUACUCAAAACUAUCACACAGUCCUCUCUCUGGAACUUUCUUGAAGGUCUCCAUUGACUGUGUCUUUCUAAACUUGUUUUGUGAUUUGUUUUUGUCUUUGCGUUUAAGAAUUUAUAGCCAUUAGAAUGUGUUACAAAAUUUUGCCUGUUGUUAAGAUACCUGUACCACUGCUGUUGUUUUGUUGAAAAAUUUAAUAAAAAAACUAUCACACAAA